rnacentral:lncRNA from 1 species
AACAAUCUCAAUUGUUUGGUGCAGUGUAGAGAUGUCAAUGGGUCGGAUUCGGGAUGGAUUUUCAAAAACCCUCAUCCGAAUCCGACUCCAAACCCGAGACCCGAGACCCGAAACCGAAUCCGACGGAUUUUAGAAAUUCAUAUCCAAACCCGAACCCAACCAAAAAUCCGAAAUCCGAAUCCGAAAAUUUGAACCCGAAACAAUUAUUUCUUUUUUCAAUAUUUCAAAACAUAUUAUAUUAAAUCUAAAUUUUUAAAAUACAAAUUCAAAUAUAAUAUCAAAUAUAUAUAUAUAUAUAUAUAUAAUACAAAAUAAAUUCGGAUUCAGAUUGGAUUCGGGUUCGAGACGAGUACAGUCAAAAUAUAUAUCCGAAUCUAUAUCCAUUUAGCAUCCAAUACAUCCGUUUUAUUUGGAUAAAAUUUGGAAUAUCCAUAUUCAUUGAUGUGACUAGUG